rnacentral:rRNA from 1 species
UUAAGCAUAUCAAUAAGCGGAGGAAAAGAAACCAACAGGGAUUGCCCUAGUAACGGCGAGUGAAGCGGCAACAGCUCAAAUUUGAAAUCUGGCCUCCUUUGGUGGUCCGAGUUGUAAUUUGCAGAGGGUGCUUUGGCGUUGGCAGCGGUCUAAGUUCCUUGGAACAGGACGUCACAGAGGGUGAGAAUCCCGUACGUGGUCGCCCGCCUCCGCCGUGUAAAGCCCCUUCGACGAGUCGAGUUGUUUGGGAAUGCAGCUCUAAAUGGGAGGUAAAUUUCUUCUAAAGCUAAAUACUGGCCAGAGACCGAUAGCGCACAAGUAGAGUGAUCGAAAGAUGAAAAGCACUUUGGAAAGAGAGUCAAAAAGCACGUGAAAUUGUUGAAAGGGAAGCGCUUGCAGCCAGACUUGCCCGUAGUUGCUCACCCGGACUUUUGCCCGGGGCACUCUUCUGCGGGCAGGCCAGCAUCAGUUUGGGCGACCGGAUAACGGCCUCUGUCAUGUAUCAUCCCUCGGGAUGACCUUAUAGGGGAGGCGUAAUGCGGCCAGCCUGGACUGAGGUCCGCGCAUCUGCUAGGAUGCUGGCGUAAUGGCUGUAAGCGGCCCGUCUUGAAACACGGACCAAGGAGUCUAACAUCUAUGCGAGUGUUUGGGUGUCAAGCCCGGGCGCGCAAUGAAAGUGAACGGAGGUGGGAACCCUCUUGGGGGUGCACCAUCGACCGAUCCUGAUGUUCUCGGAUGGAUUUGAGUAAGAGCAUAGCUGUUGGGACCCGAAAGAUGGUGAACUAUGCUUGAAUAGGGUGAAGCCAGAGGAAACUCUGGUGGAGGCUCGCAGCGGUUCUGACGUGCAAAUCGAUCGUCAAAUUUGGGCAUAGGGGCGAAAGACUAAUCGAACUAUCUAGUAGCUGGUUCCUGCC